AGAUCAGAUUUGAAAGACUGCUUCUCCUGCCUUCUCACUUUGGCCAAAUCAAACAAACCUUUCUCUGCUCCUGAGCGCUGAUCUGCCAGUGUUUGGCUUACCAUGUAUCAGGGCUCAGAGACUGAUCCAGCUCACUCCUUCAUAAGACAAUCCUUCCAACUUGAAGACAGAGCUCCUUUCUCUCCAGAGAGAAUCAGAAAGAGCAGAAGGCAAGGAAGACAAGCUCCAUCCUAAACUCCAAUCUGCACUGUUGGAUUCAUAUUCUUCCAGAGCUGAAAAAGACUUGUGAAGUCCUAUGAUCUGUUGCACUGCCUCAUUUUACAGUAAAGAAAUUGAGGCUCAGAAAGAAAUAAAAUGGUUAGAACAUUGGUGUUUAGAACACAGCUUGAAUCAGACAGACCUGGGUUUGAGAACUGGCUCUGAAACUGUCUUUGCAAAAAUUAUAUCAGUGAGAAAAAUUAUAACAGUAAGCUAAGCCAACUCUCCCCACCCCUUGCCUUUCCCUUAAUUAUUUCUGGGCUGCUGGGCUAACUUUGGAAGACAUUUAGGCGACAGUGUAAAUGAUAAUAGGCCUUGCCCAAAACUCAACUGCUUUUGUAAAGCUAAUGGGAGGCCUCCAUACUUGGGGGAGGAGAGGGGCCUGAGUCCUGCUAAGGCACAGACAUAAAUGAAGGCCAGCCAUUAUUCCGGAGGUUAUAAGAUAUGUAACUUCCCCAAUUAUUCCUGAAAAUAAAACCACUAUUAUAGAUUGGCCUUUUGAGAUAUCUUUCCAGGUUUUUUUGUAUGUCUGAAAUCCAUGGCUCCAACCCCCUCCUGUGCCCAGAAGCAAAGCAAUUCAGAAGGACAACUUAGACUCCCUAUGAUUUUAUCUCUACCCAGCCAAUCAGCAGCAAGCACCUGUUACCUGGCCACCCCCACCUUUUCCCUCAAACUGCCUUUGAAAGUCGCCUAACCUAUGAGCUUCUGAUGAGAUGAUUUGAGUAGGAACUCCAUCUCCCAUGUGGUGUGGCUGGCCUUGUGCCUAUUAAACUCUUUCUCUACCACAA